GACGUGGUCCCAGGAACCUCUCAGGUCAUGCCUGCAACUGGGUCCUCCUGUGGAAUGCAAGGGCAGUGGGGCCUCCGAGCCCCCUCCUUGUGGCCCCAGUGGCCGAGUCUGCGAACACCUCAGCCUCCCUGCAUCGCUGGUGGGGUCAGCUUGGGCGUUUAGCCAUCCUAGUCCUGACAUUACACCUCCUCUUUCGGCAGGGGUCUGGGAGCGCAGUGGCUUUUGCCCCGGGCCAUUUUUUUCCCCGAGGAUGAGAGAGAUGGCAUCAUUUCUGGGACCUUGUUCCCUGGAGACUCUGGCCCCCUGAAGAAACAAGAUAGAGAGGGCUUGGCAGAGAGAGAGAGAGAGAGAGAGAGAGAGAGAGAGAGAGAGAGAGAGAGAGGUAUUAAGGAUGAAUCCCAGUGUCUGCUCUGAGCAAAUUGGAAGAUGAUGGCAUCAGGGGCACUGCUCUGGGCUGUAUAGACUGUGCCUCCACUAAAGGGUCCCUGAGACCAGGUGUGGGCCCGUAUCCCUGGAAGGAAGGGUAACUUCCUCUGAUUCGAAGGCAUCAUAUAGGCUAGUGAAUGGCACUGAGAAUGGCAGAUGCCAGGAACAAGCAGGAGCAUGUGUGGGAUGAGGAUGCAGCGUGGAUGUGUGACGUUUCGGAGCCUGCAACACAUCCGUAGGCAAGUCCUGGAGGAGCAGUUGGAUGCAUGGUGGAGUUCUGAAACAGCUGGGCAGUCGGCACUUGAGCCAGAGAUUCUGCUUUCGACUUGGAUGCCCAUUGAGAGGUUAAGAGCUCAGGUCUGGGUCAGGCAGCUUGGAAGCAGCACAGCUUAAACACUUGGUAGCCUGGGACUGUGGAUAAAUCAACGUGACUCUCGGAGCUCCAGUUCACUGUAAAUUAGGGCAGUAAAUGAUGUUUACAUGAGUGAACUGACUUGGAUGAGAGAUCACGGUGCGUCAGAGCUAGCAAGAUCCUUAGGAUCAUUUAGCCCGGUUUACUAACAUUACACUAUGGAAUUUAAGCCCAAGGAAUGGAGAGUACCUGACCAGGGUUAUGUAAGGAGUCGAGUGAGAAGUAAGCUGGACGCUCUGCUCGGCUGGCUGGUACAGAAUGUGCCAGACCCAUCUGCCAGCCUGGAUCUCUUGAGGCAUCAGCACAAUGGACCUGGCCACACUGAUUUGUUCCACACCGCUGAGGCUGGUACAGUUCUGGACAUGGACUUUGUAAAUGAAUAACUGGGCCUUUGGUCAGUUCUAGCUGUGAGCUUGGAGGUAUGGGGUGGGAUGGUGAGGACAGGUGGGGGCAAAGUGAGGAAAGGGGCAGGGAGGAGAGGCGAGAGAGAAAAAGGGGAAUGAGACAGGCUGAGCUAGUGAGCUGGAAUUGGAGGUUGGGAACAGGCUUUCCUUGAUGGUGGUGGUGCUGUUUUCUUUUUAAUUUUAAUUUUAUUUUAUUUUAAGUUCCAGGCUACAUGUGCAGGAUGUUCAGGUUUGUUACAUAGGUAAAAACAUGGUGGUUUGCUGCACCUGUCAACCCAUCACCUAGGUAUUAAGCCCAGCAUGCAUUAGCUGUUUAUCCUGAUGCUCUCCCCACCCCCCGUCCCAACAGGCCCCACUGUAUGUUGUUCCCCUCCCUGUGUCCAUGUGUACUUAUUGUUCAGAUCCCACUUUUAAGUGAGAGUAUGCAGUGUUUGGUUUUCUGUUCCUGUGUUAGUUUGCUGAGGAUAAUGGCCUCCGGCUCCAUCCAUGUCCCUGCAAAGUACAUGAUCUCAUUCCUUUUUAUGUCUGUAUAGUAUUCCAUGGUAUAUAUGUACCAUAUUUUCCUUAUCUAGUCUAUCAUUUAUGGGCAUUUGGGUUGAUUCCAUGUCUUUGCUACUGUGAAUAGUGCUGCAAUGAACAUACACUUGUAUGUAUCAUUAUUUUUUAAUUUUUUUUGAGAUGGAGUCUUACUCCCUCACCCAGGCUGAAGUGCAAUGGUGCAAUCUCUGCUCACUGCAACCUCCUCCUCCCGGGUUCAAGCAAUUCUCGUGCCUCAGCCUCCCGAGUAGCUGGGACUACAGGCGCAUGCUACCACACCCGGCUAAUUUUUUUUUUUUUGUAUUUUUAGUAGAGAUGGGGUUUUACCAUGUUGUUCAGGCUGGUCUCGAACUCCUGUCCUCAGAUGAUCCACCCUCCUGGGCCUACCAAAGUGCUGGGAUUACAGGCAUGAGCAACCACACCCGGCCACAUGUAUCUUUAUAAUAGAAUGAUUUAUUCCUUUGGGUACACACCCAGUAAUGGGAUUGCUGGGUCAAAUGGUAUUUCUGGCUCUGGGUCUUUGAGGAAUCACCACACUGUCUUCCACAAUGGUUGAACUAAUUUACAUUUGCUGGUGCUGUUUUCUACAUUGAAUCUGAGGGCUACUGUAUGAUGUGUAAGACACUUUCUGAUUGGAGCCUCACAAUGAUCCUACCAGGUGGUUACAACUGAGCCCAAGUUUUAGAGGAAAAAAUGCAGACUCAGAGAGAGAAAAGUGAUUUGCCCAAGGUCGCAUAGCCAGCUAAUGGUGUUGAACCCUGGCCUUUUGACUUUAAAUCUAUUGCUAAAUAGGGUUCUGUUUGGUGUGUGUGUGUGUGUGUGUGAAAUGGGGAGAUAAAGAAGGCAACAGUGUUUGCCUUUGCAGAGCAUGCAGUUCAUUUGGAAACAUGCAUGUGGGAAAGUGGGGAGGGACCCUGUCAAGCAUCUAAGAGGAGUGGUGGCAUUUGCUGUGUCCACCUCCAUCCUUCCCACUCACUACUCAGUGCCUGUAGCCUUGUCUCUCUCCCCAACACUCUGCUGGGACUGCUCUCACCAAAAACACUAUUGUCCGGCUCCCUGUUGAAAGGACCGACUCUCAGGAGAUGAAGAUCCAAUCACUCUAUCAAAGAAUAUGAGCAUUUCCGAGGCUCUUGUAAGGCUGGAGUGCAGUGGUGCGAUCUCUGCUCACCGCAACCUCUGCCUCCCGGGUUCAAGCAAUUCUCCUGCCUCAGCUUCCCGAGUAGCUGGGAUUACAGGCGCACAGCACUAUGCCCAGGACACAGCGAGAGGACAGCAGUCUACAGCCCUGAAGAGAGCCCUCACCAGCACCUGACCACACUGCACCCUCAUUUCAGACAUCCAGCCUCCAGAACUACCUGCAGGUAAGGAGCGUCCAUCUGGAAAGGUAAUGGGUUUGUCGAGUAACCGGGAUACAUUUACUACUGGUGCGUAGAGGCGGAGGCAUUCCUUGAUGCACAUCGUGGUGUACGGCAUCUGGCUAAGGUGUUCCCUGGGCAGAAGCACAGGAGAAAAGGAAAAGGAGUAGUAGUCACUUAAGCAUUGCACUGAAAGCCCAGCUUUUCUCCAUUUUUGCAGGUAAUCUGAGAGCCAAAUCAUGAAUGAACUCCCAUUCACAACUGCCACAAAAAAAUAAAAUAUGUAGGAAUACAUCUAACAGGGGAAGUGAAGGACCUUUUCGAGAAGAACUACAAACCACUGCUUAGAGAAAUCUGGGAUGACACAAACAAGUGGGAAAACAUUCCAUGCUCAUGGAUAGGAAGAAUCAAUAUCAUGAAAAUGGCCAUAUUGCCCAAAGCAAUUUAUAGAUUCAAUGCUGUUCCCAUUAAACUACUAUUGAGAUUCUUCAUAGAAUUAGAAAAAACAUUUAAAAUUCAUAUGGGGCUGGGUGCAGCGGCUCACGCCUGUAAUCCCAGCACUUUGGAAGGCCGAGUUGGGAGGAUCACUUGAGUUCAGGAGUUCAAGACCAGCCUGGCCAACAUGGUGAAACCCCCAUCUCCACUGGAAAUACAAAAAUUAUCUGGGCAUGAUGGUUGGCAUCUGUAAUCCCAGCUACUCAGGAGACUGAGACAUGAGAAUCACUUGAACCUGAGAGGUGGAGGUUGCAGUGAGCCAGGAGCACACCACUCCACUCCAGCCUGGGUGACAGAGAGUCAGUCUCAAAAAAAAAAAAAAAAAUCAUAUGGAACUCAAAAAGAGCCUGAAUAGCCAAGACAAUCCUAAGAAAACAAACAAACAAACAAAUCAAAGCUGGAGGCCUCUUCAAAUUAUACCACAAGACUACAGUAACUAAAAAAGCAUGGUACUGGUACAAGAACAGACACAGAGACCAAUGGAACAGAAUAGGGAACCCAGAAAUAAGACUGCACACCUACGAUCAUCCGAUCUUCAGCCAAGUCAACAAUAACAAGCAAUGGAAAAAGGAUUCCCUAUUUAAUAAACCAUGCUGGGAGAACUGGCUAGUCAUAUGGAAAAAAUUGAAACUUCUUUACAUUAUGUGCAAAAAUCAACUCAAGAUGGAUUAAAGACUUAAAUGUAAAACCCCAAACUAUAAAAACCUCAGACAAAAAUCUAGGCAAUACCAUUCAGGACAUAGGCAUGGGCAAAGACUUCAUGACAAAGAUGUCAAAAGCAAUAGCAUUUGACCCAACGAUCCCAUUACUGGGUAUAUACCCAAAGGAAUACAAAUCACUCUAUUAUAAAGAUACAUGCACACGUAUGUUCACUGCAGCACUAUUCACAAUAGCAAAUACAUGGAAUCAACUUAAAUGCCCAUCAAUAAUAGACUGGAUAAAGAAAAUGUGGUACAUAUACACCAUGGAAUACUAUGCAGACCUAAAAAGGAAUGAGAUCAUGUCGUUUGCAGGGACACGGAUGGAGCUAGAAGCCAUUAUCCUCAGAAGACUAACACAGGAACAGAAAACCAAACACCACAUAUUCUCACUUAUAAGUGGGAGCUGAAUGAUUAGAACACAUGGACAUGUGGUGUGGGAACAACACACCUGGGGCCUGUUGGAGGGUGGGGGCUGGGAGGAGGGAGAGCAUCAAGAAUAGCUAAUGAGGCCAGGCACGGUGGCUCAUACCUGUAAUCCCAGCAUUUUGGGAGGCUGAGGCGGGCAGAUCAUUUGAGAUCAGGAGUUCGAGACCAGCCUGGCCAAUAUGGUGAAACCCCGUCUCUAUUAAAAAUACAAAAAUAUUAGCCAGGCGUGGUGACAAUGCCUGUAGUCCCUGCAACUUGGGAGGGUGAGGCAGGAGAAUCGCUUGAACCUGGGAGGUGGAGUUUGCAGUGAGCCAAGGUCACGCCACUGCACUCCAGCCUGGGUGAAAGAGUGAGGCUCCAUUAAAAAAAAAGAAAAGAAGAGCAAAUCAAUGCUGGGCUUAAUAUCUAGAUGAUGGGAUGAUCUGUGCAGCAAACCACUAUGGCACAUGUUUACCUAUGUAACAAACCUGCACUUCCUCCUGUACCCCUGAACUUAAGAGUUGGAAAUCAAAAAGAAAAAAGGUAUUAACUAAAAAUAAAAACAGUGUGUACUAUUUUUCUAAUCAGCAAAUGUUAUUUUAUUUUUUACUGUUAUUUUUAGAGUUGAUGUCUUGCUCUGUCACACAGACUGGAGUGCAGUGGCGUGAUUAGCUUUGAAUUCCUGUUCAAGUGAUCCUCCCAUGUCAGCCUCCAGAGUAGCCAGGGCUACAGGCAGUGCUGCCACACCUGGAUAAUUUUAAAAUUUUUUACAGAGAUGGGGUCUUGCUAUGUUGCCCAGGCUUGUCUCAAACUCCUGGCCUCAAGUGAUCCUCCUGCCUCUGUCUCCUGAGUCGCUGGAUUACAGGUAUGAGCCACCAGGCUCAGCAGAAAAUUAAAUUUUUUUUUAACAAGUCAUUAGUUCCUGGCAAUUCUAUUUCACUUCCAAAUCCACCUCAUUUUGCAGUGCCCUGUUCUUAGUAGUACUGGUUUAGGAAGAGUCGUGUUUCACAUGAUCGAGGCAGCCAACACAAUGAAAGUUGAGUUCACAGAGUAUUUACUUAUUUUUGUUCCCUCACAGAGUAUUUGUUUAUUUUUGUUCCCUCAAAUAAUUCAGCACAAUUAAAUUCAGCAAAUAUUUAUUGAACACUUGGAGAUGAUGAUGGAAAAUUAUGUUCACAUGGUGCCAUUUGGUACAAUGGGAACGUCAUGGGAUUUGGACUGAACCAGAAUUGUCUUAAAUCCUGAAUUUGCUAGUUUUAGGUAUGUCAUCUUGAGCAGUUGACUUCACUUUUUGAGCCACAAUUUCUCUUCCUUACAUAAAGAUAUUUAUAAAUACCCCACAGGUUGUUAUAAUAAAGGUUGAAGAUGC